rnacentral:rRNA from 1 species
CUCAGGAUGAACGCUAGCUACAGGCUUAACACAUGCAAGUCGAGGGGCAUCAGGAAGAAAGCUUGCUUUCUUUGCUGGCGACCGGCGCACGGGUGAGUAACACGUAUCCAACCUGCCCUUUACUCGGGGAUAGCCCUUCGAAAGAAAGAUUAAUACCCGAUAGCAUAAUGAUUCCGCAUGGUUUCAUUAUUAAAGGAUUCCGGUAAAGGAUGGGGAUGCGUUCCAUUAGGUUGUUGGUGAGGUAACGGCCCACCAAGCCUUCGAUGGAUAGGGGUUCUGAGAGGAAGGUCCCCCACAUUGGAACUGAGACACGGUCCAAACUCCUACGGGAGGCAGCAGUGAGGAAUAUUGGUCAAUGGGCGCUAGCCUGAACCAGCCAAGUAGCGUGAAGGAUGAAGGCUCUAUGGGUCGUAAACUUCUUUUAUAUAAGAAUAAAGUGCAGUAUGUAUACUGUUUUGUAUGUAUUAUAUGAAUAAGGAUCGGCUAACUCCGUGCCAGCAGCCGCGGUAAUACGGAGGAUCCGAGCGUUAUCCGGAUUUAUUGGGUUUAAAGGGAGCGUAGGUGGACUGGUAAGUCAGUUGUGAAAGUUUGCGGCUCAACCGUAAAAUUGCAGUUGAUACUGUCAGUCUUGAGUACAGUAGAGGUGGGCGGAAUUCGUGGUGUAGCGGUGAAAUGCUUAGAUAUCACGAAGAACUCCGAUUGCGAAGGCAGCUCACUGGACUGCAACUGACACUGAUGCUCGAAAGUGUGGGUAUCAAACAGGAUUAGAUACCCUGGUAGUCCACACAGUAAACGAUGAAUACUCGCUGUUUGCGAUAUACAGUAAGCGGCCAAGCGAAAGCAUUAAGUAUUCCACCUGGGGAGUACGCCGGCAACGGUGAAACUCAAAGGAAUUGACGGAAG